GAUGAACGCUGGCGGCGUGCCUAAUACAUGCAAGUCGAGCGAACAGACGAUGAGCUUGCUCCUUGGACGUGAGCGGCGGACGGGUGUGUAACACGUGUAUAACCUACUUAUCUUACUGGGAUAACUUCGGGAAACCGGAGCUAAUAGCGUAUAAUAUAUUGAACCGUAUGGUGCAAUAGUGAAUUUCGGUGUUUCUGUCUGUUAUAGAUGGAUCUGCGCCGCAUUAGAUGGUUGGUAAGUUCACGGCUUAUCAAGGCAACGAUGCGUAGCCGAACUACGGGGGUGGUAGGCCGCACGGGAACUGAGACGCGGUCAAGACUCCUGCGGGAGGCAGCAGUAGGCAAUCGUCCGCAGAGGGCGAAAGCCUGACGGAACAGCGCCAAGUGUGUGAUGACGGCCUUCGGAUCGUAAAAAUCUGUUAUUGGGGAAGAACAAAUGUGUAAGUAAAUAUGCACGUACUGACGGUACCUAAUCAGAAAGCCACGGCUAACUACGUG
rnacentral:rRNA from 1 species